AAAGGCGGGUGGGGGGUGGGACUUGGACAGGGCCAGUCCGGUCUCGCUCCAGAGCGGGAAGCUCGGAGCAUGUAGAGGGGGACCAGCUUGGGUGGCGGCUGGCUAGCCCCAGCCAAGCCCAGUGGCAGCCGCGGCAGAUGGGCUUGAUCAGGACAGGAGCAUUGCGGUUGAAUCUGUUGGUGUUGGUCGUUGGGCUACUUCCUGCCAUGGCCCAGGCUUCUCGCACAAGGACCAGUGAGAGGUGGCCUGAGCAAUGGCAGGACCCGGACAGACAGCGGGGAAGGAAAUGGCGGUGCCACCGAGGGUAGGUGAGGAUGGGAGGCGCUCUGGCAGGCAGGCUGGCGAGGCGGACGGACGCGCAGCGACCCCGCUCAGCCACGCGGGCUUUCCGCGCUGUGCGCCUUCGGCUCCUCAUCUGUAGAAUUAGGGGUUGGACUAGAUGAUCUCCCCGGCUCGAGCUCGGACAUUCUGCCAUUCUCUGUGGAGCUGUAUCCGAGAGACUGUAGAAAAGGUGGGAUUGGAAGGAGGCAACAUCUUGGCGUUGGAGCCGCGUGCUUACCGAGCCGGAGCCCCGGAGAAUCCCGAUUGUCUGAGCCAGCAGAGACGGGGAGGUCUUCUCCUCCAACCCCUCGUUUUAGGGAUAGAGUCGCUGAGGGACAGAGCGGGGAAAGGACUUGCUUCCCCUUAGAGGCCUUGAGAAGGGAUUAGAACAGGAGAGAGGAGAAGGCGAGAUGAGAUCAGGAUUGGAAACUGAACCUCAGGGAGAGCCCCAAGCUAAAGAGCAGGAGAUGAAGGUGUAAUCAGCGGAGACCGAGGAGUAACCAGACAGACGGAAAGAGACCCAGACAAUGUAGCUUCAUGGAGGGCAGGAGGAAAACGUCAGGAAGGAGGAGGUGAGGAACACCACCAGAGCAGCAGCGGCCAAGUAGAGCCGUCCUGGAGAGAGCCACUUCUGGAGAGGGGAAGAGCGAGGCGAGGGAGGCAGGCAGGCGGUGUAGACGAGGAGCUCCAUUCACUGGACCAUAGAAGAGAGGCGCAAACUAGAGCAGCUCUCAAAGGACACUAGUCGAGCCAAGGCGGCUAGGAUCCGGGAGAGAGCUGGGGAGAGGACCAGGGAGCCAGGUCCUCGGGCAGAGCGAGGGCUCACAGACAGGAGCGCUGCUGAUGACCUCCGGCUCGUCGCUGCGAGGCGAAGGCAUCUGCAGAGAGACCGCGGGAAGAAGCAGGACGCCCUUACGCCCAGGCAGGCAGGCAGACAGGCAGGCAGGCUGAGGCUAGCUAGGCCAGGGGAGGUGCAUGCUCCCGCGACCUUCUCCAGGAACUCUGCAGCCCGGGAGCCGGAGCGGAGAAAGCAAACAGUGGAGGCUCCGAGCACUGUCUGCUUUAUCCGCUCCUGCUCCUGGGGCUGACCUAGCAAACGCGCAGCGGAAGGCCAAGGAUGCCGGGGUGUCAAGGGUGCUAGUGAGGGCAGCAGAGAAAUGGCUCACCAUGGAGGAGCAGAGGUUGGUUGGGGACGUGAAUCUGUCUGGAAGGGGGCGAGCGGAGGGACCCUCACGAGCUGGGAGGGCUUCAGUGAUUGAAGGGCCCCCUGAGGGUGGCGAGGGGAAGCCAGUCAGGAAGCGAAGCUCCCUGAGUAGUCUGAAGUCACACCAGUACGAGAUGGUGGAGGUGAAGCAUCUGCCCAGUGGGCACCCGAUGGGAAUGAGCAGAGCAACAUGAAAGUCGGAGCGCCAUGAAGGACAAAGGAUGGUGAGUAGGGGCUUCACAUGAGGGCGAGGAGAAGGGGGGGGUGUCCCUGGCGCCUCUUCAGAGAGGCCCCGAGCUCAGCUGGAAGGAUGCCCAUGCUGAGCCACGGCCCCUGGGAGCCCUGCUGGGUUAGGUCUCAAGGGGGAUGAGGAUGAAGGGUUUGUCUCCCUUAGCAACAUAGCCUCCAUGCACUUUGUGGUUUGGUCCCUAUAGGAAACAGAGAGGUAUCAUCAGAAAAACAUAGAUACCAGGGCUGCAGUCCCCAUGCUAGUCAAUCAGAAGAUCAUUGGCAAAGACACGAGCAGAUGGGAUGGACCGUCCAGGCUCUGUAAAGGUGAGUGAGGUUUGUGGCCCCUUGGAUUCCCCAGGACCUGAGAGAACACAGAUGGGGAAACUGAGGCCCAGGGAGAACUUGCCCAAUGUCACGUAGAGAGCAGAAGUAAAGCCAGAACCAAUGUUCCUUCCACUGCCCCACCCUGCCUAUCUGUCUCCCCCACCUACCAUAUGCCUCCUGACUUCCCCAGCAUUAGCUAACAGUCCGGAAUAUCAGGAUCCCCAGGACACAGAGGUGUGGGACUGAGGCCAGGGCAAGAGUCCAACAUCCUGUAUCCUGCUAUACAAUGAAACCACCCCCACCCCCACCCUGCCCCACCACACACACACACACACACACACACACACACACACACACCUGGCUCCCAGUUAACCCUUUCUAAUCCCCAUCACUUUCCUUUCUCUUGCCAGAUCAAUCAACUGAUCACUUCACUGAUCUAGCAGCAGUCAGGGAAGGAGCCUUUCUCACCCAGCCAACUCCCCCCAGGCAUAAGCAUGUGGGCAUGAAGAAAGGGUAAGUUACAGCCAGUCAGGGACCUACGGCACCCAUGUAGGGGGAGUGAGCCACGAGGAAAGGGUCUCUCAGCUGACCCAAGACCCCCAGCUCGGAGGUGGCCAUGCUCACGCCUCUUUUCUUGAUCUUACAGAUUACAUCCUGGCCAAGGUCCCAGUUCAGGGGACUGUCCCAGGACAGGACCUUUUCCCAUCUGCUAACAAGAUGCCACUUGAUUCAGACAGCAUGGCCAGAAAGGUAAGCAUAAACAGACCCUUCCCCGUGCUGCCUAUGGGGGCCUCUGCACCUCAUGCUUGAAUCCCCCAUUUACAGCUAGCUAUAUUGAUCAUAUCCUUGCUUUACCAGGCCACAGGCCCAAGACCCUGGAUUGACGUGUUGACUGCAAAGAAGAAUGCUGACCCACUGGGGUUACCGAAUCCCCUCACCUAGAGAAGAGAGAACCUCAGAGAAGACAAGAACUGAGAUGCUUCCAAAAGCCCUCCCCAAGAAAGACCCAAGCCCCCCACUCCAGUGUUGCGCCAAUAACCCAGCCUCUGUUUUCUCCCCUCAAAACCCAUCACCUCCAUGAAGCCUUCCAUGAUGAGAGAUCCCCUCCCCCCCACUCCACCCCUUCCCCUGAUCCUGGCUUUACCAUCCCCCUCUCCCUCCAGCCCCCCACCCUCCCCUCCAAAUGUAAUGUCCCUCGAUUCUGCGACCCUGAAGCCCUUACAGAUUCCAAUUGCACUAACUAGUUCGUUUGCACUGAUACGUGUGCACGGUCCCCACGAGUGUGUGAGUGAGUGUGCGUAUGUGUGUCUGUGUUGGUCCUGUCUCGGCUAGCCUGCUCCCCCACGAGCCCAGGCUAGUCCUCCACUUACACCUCUUACAGUUCUCUCCCCUGUUCCCCCUCCCCCAGAGCCUGCCCGCCAGGGCUGGCUCUGCACACACUCAAUAAACACUGUUGACAGACAGCAGGGUUUCUCAGGA
rnacentral:sRNA from 1 species